UACGUAGGGUGCAAGCGUUAAUCGGAAUUACUGGGCGUAAAGCGUGCGCAGGCGGUUUCGUAAGUCUGUCGUGAAAUCCCCGGGCUUAACCUGGGAAUGGCGAUGGAGACUGCUAGGCUAGAGUUUGGCAGAGGGGGGUAGAAUUCCACGUGUAGCAGUGAAAUGCGUAGAGAUGUGGAGGAACACCGAUGGCGAAGGCAGCCCCCUGGGUCAAAACUGACGCUCAUGCACGAAAGCGUGGGGAGCAAACAGG
rnacentral:rRNA from 1 species